rnacentral:rRNA from 1 species
UACGUAGGGUGCAAGCGUUGUCCGGAAUUAUUGGGCGUAAAGAGCUCGUAGGCGGUCUGUCGCGUCUGCUGUGAAAACCUGGGGCUUAACCCCGGGCCUGCAGUGGGUACGGGCAGACUAGAGUGCGGUAGGGGGAGACUGGAAUUCCUGGUGUAGCGGUGAAAUGCGCAGAUAUCAGGAGGAACACCGAUGGCGAAGGCAGAUCUCUGGGCCGUAACUGACGCUGAGGAGCGAAAGCAUGGGGAGCGAACAGG